rnacentral:lncRNA from 1 species
AUUUUGAUGGCCGCUGAUCAUGUGCAGAUGAUGGAAGCUCAUUUCCUUCCAUGAACCAGGAGCAUGCUCGCCUCUUCUUUUAAGUUGACCCACACAGUCUCUGAUGUCUUCUUUUUGGGAAAGGGAGAAGCCUCCCUGACUGGAGACUAGAAAGAGUCUCACAUCUUCUGCUACCACAUGAAUAGACUAAAAAGAAAGAAGAGUCCCAGAUGGGGCCAAGUGGUGACCUGUAGCUAUUUCAGCUCAGAAUGUCAGCCUCUAAAGCAUCAGCAUCUCCUGAUUGUUUCAAAACCAAGGCCGAGAACUGUCGCAGGCAAGAACUUGUGUGCCGAACUCUGAAGGAGGUGAGUACCAGUCACUGGGUAAUUAGGGCUGUGCGGCAGGUACAGCCUCUCUCACUUGAUGACAAUGAUACAGAAAGAAAAUCUUGGGAAGGGACAAGGCUUCCCUGAGAAACAGCCUUACAGAGAGUCCACCAGUAUUCCUCCUUUAGUACCCAG